rnacentral:rRNA from 1 species
UACGUAGGGCGCAAGCGUUGUCCGGAAUUAUUGGGCGUAAAGAGCUCGUAGGCGGUUUGUCGCGUCUGCUGUGAAAACCUAAGGCUUAACCUUGGGCGUGCGGGCGAUACGGGCAGACUGGAGUACUGCAGGGGAGACUGGAAUUCCUGGUGUAGCGGUGGAAUGCGCAGAUAUCAGGAGGAACACCGGUGGCGAAGGCGGGUCUCUGGGCAGUAACUGACGCUGAGGAGCGAAAGCGUGGGGAGCGAACAGG